rnacentral:rRNA from 1 species
GGUUUAAUUCGAAGCAACGCGAAGAACCUUACCAAGUCUUGACAUCCCGAUGACAGAGUAUGUAAUGUACUUUCUCUUCGGAGCAUCGGUGACAGGUGGUGCAUGGUUGUCGUCAGCUCGUGUCGUGAGAUGUUGGGUUAAGUCCCGCAACGAGCGCAACCCCCUGUCCUUAGUAGCCAG